rnacentral:rRNA from 1 species
GACGAACGCUGGCGGCGCGCUUAACACAUGCAAGUCGAGCGAGAACCUGGGCUUCGGCCCUGGGGACAGCGGCGAACGGGUGAGUAACACGUGGGUAAUCUGCCCUUGACAUCGGGAUAGCCCGGGGCAACCCGGAUUAAUACCGAAUAGCCUCCGGAGCCUUCGGGCGCCGGAGCAAAGGUAGCUUCGGCCUCCGGUCGAGGAUGAGCCCGCGGCGGAUUAGCUUGUUGGCGGGGUAACGGCCCACCAAGGCGACGAUCCGUAGCUGGUCUGAGAGGACGAUCAGCCACACUGGGACUGAGACACGGCCCAGACUCCUACGGGAGGCAGCAGUGGGGAAUCUUGCGCAAAUGCGGGAAACCGUGACGCAGCGACGCCGCGUGGGGGAAGAAGGCCUUCGGGUUGUAGACCUCUUUCAGGAGGGACGAAGCUACUCGGGUUAAUAGCCCAGAGGGUGACGGUACCUCCAGAAGAAGCCCCGGCUAACUACGUGCCAGCAGCCGCAGUAAGAC